rnacentral:rRNA from 1 species
GUCUACGGCCAUACCACCCUGAACGCGCCCGAUCUCGUCUGAUCUCGGAAGCUAAGCAGGGUCGGGCCUGGUUAGUACUUGGAUGGGAGACCGCCUGGGAAUACAGGGUGCUGUAGGCU